AAAAUGGAAUCAGACGGCCGCGGUACCCUAACCGUGCGAAGGUAGCGUAAUCACUUGUUCUUUAAUUGAGGACUAGUAUGAAUGGCUUAACGAAGACUAUACUGUCUCCUUUUUCUAAUCAAUGAAACUAAUCUCCCCGUGAAGAAGCGGGGAUUAACAUAUAAGACGAGAAGACCCUAUGGAGCUUUAAACAACUGAAAUACAUGCUUUCCUGAGAAUCAAACCCACUUUAAGCAUUCUAAUUUCUAGUUUUAGGUUGGGGUGACCACGGAGCAUAAAUCAACCUCCACGCUGAAAUUUGAACCUCUUUUUAGUUUAAAGCCACAGCUUUCAACAUCAACACAUUGACUCCUAUUGACCCAAUUAUUUGAUCAACGAACCAAGUUACCCUAGGNAUAACAGCGCAAUCUACUUCAAGAGUUCUUAUCGACAAGUAGGCUUACGACCUCGAUGUUGGAUCAGGGUGUCCUUUAUU
rnacentral:rRNA from 1 species